rnacentral:rRNA from 1 species
UACAGAGGUCUCAAGCGUUGUUCGGAUUCAUUGGGCGUAAAGGGUGCGUAGGCGGCGCGGUAAGUCGGGUGUGAAAUCUCGGGGCUUAACUCCGAAACUGCAUUCGAUACUGCCGUGCUUGAGGACUGGAGAGGAGACUGGAAUUUACGGUGUAGCGGUGAAAUGCGUAGAUAUCGUAAGGAAGCCCAGUGGCGAAGGCGGGUCUCUGGACAGUUCCUGACGCUGAGGCACGAAGGCCAGGGGAGCAAACGGG